GACGAACGCUGGCGGCGUGCCUUAGGCAUGCAAGUGGAACGGGCUAUCUUCGGAUAGCAAGUCGCGAACGGCUGAGUAACGCGUAGGAAUCUACCCUUUGGUGUGGAAUAGCCUUCCGAAAGGGUGGUUAAUACCGCAUAAGAUCUCCGGAUGAAAGGAUUUAUCCGCCGAAGGAGGAGCCUGCGUCCCAUCAGCUUGUUGGUAGGGUAAAAGCCUACCAAGGCUACGACGGGUAGGGGGCGUGAGAGCGUGAUCCCCCAGAAUGGCACUGAGAUACGGGCCAUACACCUACGGGUGGCAGCAACCGGGAAUCGUGCGCAAUGGACGAAAGUCUGACGCCGCGACGCCGCGUGUGGGAUGACGGCCUUCGGGUUGUAAACCACUUUUGGUAAAGUCGAGAGGCUUUGCAGAAUAAGCACCGGCUAACUACGUGCCAGCAGCAGCGGUAAUACGUAGGGUGCAAGCGUUGUCCGGAUUUAUUGGGCGUAAAGGGUUCGCAGGCGGCUUGGUAAGUUAUGUCUCAAAGACCGGGGCUUAACUUCGGAUAGGGAUGUAAUACUGCCAAGCUUGAAGAAUGUCGGGGUUACUGGAACUUACUGUGUAGGGGUGAAAUCCGUUGAUAUAGUAAGGAACACCAAGGGCGAAGGCAGGUAACUAGACAUUUCUUGACGCUCAGGAACGACAGCUAGGGUAGCGAAAGGGAUUAGAGACCCCUGUAGUCCUAGCCGUAAACGUUGCUCGCUAGGGAUUUGGAGUCAAUUUAUUGACAUUGAGUCCCGUAAGCUAACGCGUUAAGCGAGCCGCCUGGGGAGUACGAUCGCAAGAUUAAAACUCAAAGGAAUUGACGGGGACCCGCACAACCAGUGGAGCAUGUGGUUUAAUUCGAGACGAACCGAAGAACCUUACCUGGGCUUGACAUGCUAUUCGUAAUGCCCUCUAGAAGUAGAGUGGAAGUCUACAUUUGUGGACAGGGUAGCACAGGUGUUGCAUGGCUGUCGUCAGCUCGUGCCGUGGGGUGUUCCC
rnacentral:rRNA from 1 species